GGAGGGGCAGCUGACGCCCUCCGUCCCCAGGGCCUCCCUGUGGAGCUCCUGCGUAGUGCUGCCGCUGCUGGCGCUGACCUGGAUGUCGGCUGUGCUGGCCGUCACGGACCGCCGCUCCGCCCUCUUCCAGAUCCUCUUCGCGGUCUUCGACUCGCUGGAGGGCUUUGUCAUUGUGAUGGUGCACUGCAUCCUGCGCCGAGAGGUGGGUGGCCCUCUGGACCAAGGUCCUUCCCCUGCCCGCCCUGCGGAGGGAGCCGGGAGACACCGCUUCUGGGGGCCCCAACUCCUGUCGGCUGCAGGGACCUGGCUGGGCAGGAGCGUCCACACGCAGUUCCACAGAGCCAGGGCUGCCACGAAUGGCCGCCUUGGACCAGGACAGCUUCCAGGACACCCUCGGCCUCGGGGUGCAGGGUGACGGAGGCAGCUGGGGCUCCAUCCUUGCGGAGCCUGCUGAACAAGAUUGCUGGUAGCAGAUGCUUUUGGCAUUGUCUGGACCAACCAAGUCUGAGUGGCCUGUCGGCCGGGGGCAGCAGAAGGGGUCACAUCCAGACCCCUGAGAGCUCGGAGUGUGGGGGGACAUGCGUCGUGACCUAGGGACUGGACUCCUAUGUGGCUCAGAACCAGGAUGUGGCUGCUGGGGCAAGAAGGCCCAAUCCUCCCCUUCUCCCCAGAACCUCCUAGGACAGUGGCAAGCGGACUCUUCAGAAGCUCAUAGAUGAGGGAGGACACUGAACAGGAAGGCCGUGGCACUCCCAGCCCUGGAAGGUCAGGCUGCAAGAGGAGAGGUCAUGACCUGAGCAGACUGCAGCGGGCAGCUAACUCCAGGCCACCGAAGCCCAGAGAGCUGCUGGGGGGGCCCCUCCCAGGAUCUCAGGAGACCAAAGGGAGGACCCUCUGGAGCCGCGCAUCCUGUCCCUCUUGGACAUCAGGGCACGUGGCCUCCCCAGCUGGGCUGCACUGCCCAGGAAGAGUGCACCAAAAGGCCCUGACGAUGGGCAUCAGUGUGGAGUGCCCCUUGGUCAGUCCACACUGACCCCGAGCCCACCCCUCUGGAAAAACGUGAACUUGCCAGCAGGAAAGAGGAGGGGACCUAAAGUUCCGGGUUCCAUGCUGCAGCUGGCGGCCCCUCUGGAAGCCCCCGCCUGCAGCCCCUGCCCCUGACAGCCCGCCAAGCGGCCACUGAGGUUGAGAACUGCUGAGGGAGGAGCCGGGCAGAAACGGCAUGGGGGACCGAAGAGCCCCCACGGAGGAAGGAACUCCCCAGAGCCCCGCCCUGCCAUCCCGAACGGCCACUCACCCUGACCACUGAGCACUACCAGUGCCUUGCCUGGCCCCAGAGAUCUGCUCGUGCCCUUGAUUCUCAGCGGCACCAUGGCCAGGUGCUCGACUGCCCGCCUGCCAACAGCCAUUCUGGCCCGGCAUGGACUUGGGGCUGCAGUCUGCUCCGAGGUCACCAUCUUGCCUCCGGCCCCUGUCCUGGCUGCUUGGCUUUGUGAACAAAGAAGAGCGGCCUGUGAGGAGGAAAGAGCAGGGACACCCCAAGGACAGAGCAGCUUGGGAGUUCAGACCUGAGGGCGGCAGCCGCAGAGGUGGCAGGGGUGAGGCCGGGGCGGGGGCUGGACAGACAUCUCUGAGACCUCGUCGAGGAGCGGGCAGAGCACCGCCGUGGAGCCUGGCCCUGGCUCAGAGCUGCAUGGAACCUCGCGAAGCACCCCUGGACCUCCGAUCACCACCUCCUUUGGCAGUUGCUGGCCACAUGGACAGGACAGGCAGAAGCUGCAGCCCCACCCGCGUGGCUGAGGUCCCUUCAUGGAGAGUGUUGCUGGAGGAGGAGCAGGCCGGUCCACCUGCAGGGACCCCCAUCCGUCUGCCUGCCUGAGAGAAGAGGCUUUGGUGAUGAAGGACAGGUCUGAGGCCACUGGAAGUCCUUGUCCGACUCCGGCCAGCAGGGCCUGCAGCGUUCAGCCAGGGGACUCCAGGUUUCUUCAUUCUUAUGCCACAGAGAGCGCGAGAGUGUCUCAGAGAUGAAGAGAGAGGCCAUGGCCUGCUGUGGACAUGUCCUGUCCCCUCCUCCACCACACCUCUCAGUCCUCCCCCCCCCGCCCGCUGCAGGCUUGCCCCUUCCCGGGCACCCCAGAGCUGCCAUGUCCCCGGGCCCUGCUGCACACUGACGCUCCCCGCUCCCUCCCCAGGUCCAGGAUGCCGUGAAGUGCCGCGUGGUGGAUCGCCAGGAGGAGGGCAACGGGGACUCGGGGGGCUCCUUCCAGAACGGCCAUGCCCAGCUCAUGGUAGGACUGGGAGCCGGGGGCACAGGCACCCCCACUGGGAACCUCAGGGUCCUCCCUGGGCCCAGAGCUGCCCUGGGCCGAGGCACCCAUUAGAGGAGCCCUCAGCUCAGUUUGCAUUUGAGGAAACUGAGGCUCUCCAAGGUGAACCCCGAUCCAGAGCUUCAGGCCGGGAAGGGUGGAGCUGGCGUCCAUCCCACGUCCAGCUGAGUGAGGCCCUGCCCGCCUGCCCGGCUCUUAGCCUGCCCCUUCUAGGACUGCACACAGGCCCCUGCGAGGCCAACAGCUCAGGGCCUCCUGAGCACCAGGCCUCUGUGCAGCUGCCCACAUCAGGCCCCCAUGGAUACUGAAACUGCCCGCCACCCUCAGACCCUGACUCCGGGCAGCCCAGAGCCCCAAGGCUCAACCAGGAUCCCCCAGCCCCUCUGGCCCCUGGCCUGGACCUGGCAGCUCGUGCCUAGGCCUUCUCUUGCCCAGGCUCCUGGCCCCCCACCGGCUGGCUUCCCGGCCUCGGGCAUCACCCACCCCAGCCCAGGCAGGGCCUCCAAAUCCCCACGAUGGCCUCAGCUUCUCCAUCCAGAAAGGGGCAGUGUCAGGGUUUCCGGCAGAUACUGGGUCCCUUGGAGACACAGCCCUUCCUGAUGCUUCUCCUGGCUAACCCCUGACCUUAGUGGGAAGAUUCGUCUUCCCGUCGACCUGUGUUUGCAGGGAAGGAGCGUCCAGGUUUGAGAGCAAGGGCUGGAUUGUCCCCUGGAGCCCUGUGGCCUCUGAAUGGGUCUGGGAUGGGCCCAGGCCAAGGGUGGGUCUGGGUGUCAUUCCCUUCUCCUCAGCUGCUGCCCUUCCUUGCUGCAGUGGGGACCAGGCCACUGCUCAAAGGAUGGCCAGUGGUGGCCGUCACCACAUUGGCGUCCCUCCCUUGCUCUGCCUGUCCCUGGCCUCUCUGCCUCAGCCCCAGCACCAUGGCAGGGGCCCAGGAGAGGAGGCGCUCCAGACCUCGAGGCUGCUCCUGGCCUGGGGUUGGAGGCUGUGGUCAGCAGGGCUGGCCAGCUGCCCCGUGGGGGCUUAGAAGAACACAGGCGUGCCUGCAGACACCGACGCAAACAACAGACAAGGAAACACGCACACGUACGCUCACGCUGUCACGCCACACGCGAACACGCCCACAGACACUGACGCGGACAGGAGCACUUGUUCCCAGACACGUCCACACCUGCUUCAGAGGCACAGUCGCCCUUGCCCAGAAGACGCUCCCACCCCCAGGCCUGCGGGCCCGUUUGGAGGCGUGGCCACCCUGCAGGGACUCUGUAGACGUGGCCUGGGUGCCUGGUGACAGCGCGUCAGCGCCUGGGCACCUUGUGUGUGGCCCUCCAGGCCUCCCUGCAGCAGUAGCCCCUCUGCCCCCCGGCCCUCACCCCUGCCCACCCUCUGUCUUGCAGACUGACUUUGAGAAGGAUGUGGAUCUGGCCUGUAGAUCAGGUGAGCGACCGACAGGUGAGACGGCAGGUGGCCGGGUCGGCCCACUGCUUCCUUCUCUUUGCCCAGCGUCUGUGUGCUCAUCUGUCCUCGCCCUCUGCUGGCACCAGGCCCCUGUCCCUCACACCCCGAGGCUGCAGGAGAGCUGUGGUGCUGUUGAGGGCGCUCCAGAAACCUGUCCCUGAGCCCCUGAUGGUCAGCCAGUCCAGCUCUCCUGCACCUGCCUGACUCCCCUGCACCCUCCUCCCAGGCAACGAGGCUGGGAAUUGUGCAUGAAACCCUGCCACCCAUCGCCACCCUCUCCUGCCACCCACCCUCCCUCAAGCACCCUGUUCUGUGUUGCCUUCACUUCAUCAUUAGUCCAGGUUGAGCUUGCAGGGAGGAGGACCCACCACUGGGGGUCUAGGCUAGUGCUGAGCUUCCUGGAAGCAAGAGCAAAAAGAGAAUCUGCCUAAUGAGGCUCCUAACCCACCCCCAAGAGUCAGAUAACAGAGGUCUGCUUCCUCCAGUGGUGUCCUGGGAACCAGGUAUCUGGGGCAGUGGCAGGCAGUCUUUGGCUGUGGAGGGGCCACCUAAUCAUGCUCCCUCUGGCUGGUCAGGUACUUAGGGCAUCUUCUCUAGAGAUAGACAUGAGGCUGGGACAGUCCCAGGUGACGAAUGUCAGCUGCUGCCAGGUGGACCCCAGCCGCGUGGGUGUGCACUGGGCCCCCAGAGUGCUUGGUGCCUUCUGAAUGGCUUGCAGCCAGCAGGUGGGGCCACACAGCCAGUGCUGGGCACAGGUAGGGGAGGCACACCACCCGUCCACAGUGCUGGACGCUAGCCCUGCCACACAGGGAGCCGAGCACCUGGGGGCGAUGGGGUGUCUGGGCCCGUGGGGCGUGGGACGUUGUUGAGUGACCAGCCCCAGCUGGGCGUCUCCUGAGAUGGCCUUGACCCUGGGGGAAGGUGCAGGUGGAGAGGGCAGUGGAGAAGCACGACCUGCCAGGGCCAGCUGCAGGAGAGAAGGCGCAGGUGGCUAGACCCUGCAAGGGGCCUGGGGAGCGCCCAGGAGGUGGUGGCUAACACCAGUGGGUCCUGGUGAGCUGGGAUGGAGGGAGCAGCUGGUAGACACCAGUGCUGGCCCGGAUAUGCACAGGAGCCCAUCCUCAGGCCAUUAUGGGUGGGGCACCGGGUUGGGUCUGGCUCUUUAGAGAAUGGAACCACUGGGUGUGGAGAGGCUGCCGUGGACGCUGGGUGGUGGAAAGCUCUGGCCCUCCAAUGGCUAGUGGAGGCGGGAUAAUCAGGAGUGGGAUGGGAGGUGGGGCCAGCCAAGCCCCGGUCACAGGGCAGGCAGCCUGGGCCAGCUGUCCAGGGACCAGAUGACCUUCAGAGUGGAGGGUGCCCGCCAGGCAUAGGCGUCCAGGCUCCAGGUGCUGGGAGGCAGGAGGCGUCCCUCAGGGUGCAGGCUUGAGUGCUUGGGAGCCUGGGUUGGGCCUGCUGCCCUCCUGGGCAGAUCCUGGCACGUCCUCCCUACACCGACUCAGCCAUGAGCAGGCUUUGGGCAGCGGGGACGCUUGACCAGCCGGGGUCCCUUCCCCAGAAUAGGCUGCUCCACCUGCCGCACUGGUGGGUCCCUGCACUCCUGGGUAGGCCACCUUGCUUGUCCUUCUGAGCUGCUAGGACAGGCCACUUGUGGGUGACAGUUGUUUGUCUUCUUGCUGGGGCAGGCAGAGGGGCACCCAGGUGCCAGCCUUGCUUAAAAAGAUAUGAGCCUUGGCCAGCUCCGCACCAGGCCUGGGUCAGGGGCAAGUGCCCCAGGCCAGCCAGCAGGUGGGACCGGGGGCAGUGGUGCUGGCCUGUCUGGGCCCUCCCGCUGGGGGCCUGCCUGACCCCCAUCUGCCGCUCAUGACCCCACAGUGCUGAACAAGGACAUCGCGGCCUGCCGCACGGCCACCAUCACAGGCACGCUCAAGCGGCCAUCACUGCCUGAGGAGGAGAAGCUGAAGCUGGCCCAUGCCAAGGGGCCACCGUCCACCUUCAACAGCCUGCCGGCCAACGUGUCUAAGCUGCACCUGCAUGGCUCGCCCCGCUACCCUGGUGGGCCCCUGCCCGACUUCCCCAACCACUCACUGACCCUCAAGAAGGACAAAGCACCCAAGUCCUCCUUCGUUGGCGAUGGGGACAUCUUUAAGAAGCUGGACUCAGAGCUGAGCCGGGCCCAGGAGAAGGCUCUGGACACGAGCUACGUGAUCCUGCCCACGGCCACGGCCACACUGCGGCCCAAGCCGAAGGAGGAGCCCAAGUACAGCAUCAACAUCGACCAGAUGCCCCAGACGCGCCUCAUACACCUGAGCAUGGCGCCCGAGGCCGGCUUCCCCACCCGCAGCCCACCCACCCGCGAGCCCCCUGGCAGCGGGCCUCCAGAGGCACCCCCUGCCCAGCCCCCGCCACCCCCACCCCCACCACCCCCACCGCCCCAGCAGCCCCUGCCUCCACCGCCCACCCUGGAGCCAGCGCCUCCCAGCCUGGGGGACACGGGGGAGCCCUCCGCCCACCCAGGACCAAGCUCGGGGACUGUCACCAAGAACGAAAACGUCACCACCUUGUCUGUGAGCUCCUUGGAGGUGAGGGUACCAGGGCCAGCUGAGCUGGUGGGGCCAGCUGAGCUGGUGGGGCCAGCGGGUUGGGCUGCACUCAGCGCGGUGUCUAAGGGCGUCCCAGGGGGCUCGGGCGGCCGGCCCGGCCUGCAGGGGAGGCUCCCGGCCCCCAGCAGCAGCAGCAGAUGGGCCGUGCUGACAGGCCGGCUUCUACCUGCACCACUGGCCGGGCAGGGCUGGCCAGGACCCGCUGCCCUCAGGCCCACUCCCAGGGCAGCAGGCCAAGUGAGAGGGAGCUUUUAGCAGCCCAUGCUGGCCAUGCCUCUUGUCCCUGCCCCCUCUCAGGCCCCAGCCUGGGUGCUGAGUCUAGCCUCCUCAUGAACGGGCAGUGUGGCAGCAAGUGUCCCCAUAUCAACCUGGCGUCUUGAGUUGACCAGUGGGAUGUGAGACUCCCGUCAGGGUAGGGCCUGAGGGAUGUACUGCCCCUCCUGGCUCUCGGCCUCUGGGGAUGCACCUGGGAUCCGAGUGCAUCCUCGGGUGAGCCCAGCCUUGUGGCCCUCGUCAGUCCUUCUGACCCUGGGCAGCAUGUGCUGGUCUGGCUGAGCUGGACACCCCUGCCCAGCCCUGACUCUGGCCCCUGGCACAUGCAUGUGGGAGGAGCAGCGUCCAGACGAGCUGGCAGACGGGCCCCUUGGGGCCGGGAGAGGAGGGCUGUGCUGGCCCAGGGUCCUGCCGUCGGGAGGAAGCUGCUCCUGUCCUGUCUGCCAGCCUGUUGCUGACAGCUUCCCUUCAACCUCAGCAACCCCACUGCACCUCCCGAGCCCCCCGCUGGCCUUAGUGAGUCCAGGGAAAGGCAGCCUGCACAGAACACAGGCCCUCGGGGCACACCCUCUGGCCUGGCGUGGACCCUGAAGGCAGGACAGGGGUUGGUCGCCCUCCCUCACCACAGGGAGGACCUGGACUCAUGGUCCGGGAGUCUUAGGGAACCAGUAACAAAUGAGCAUAAACUUGUCCCCACAGCGGCGAAAAUCGCGGUAUGCAGAACUGGACUUUGAGGUGGGUGCUGAUGUCCCCCUCCCUGGACAGGCAGGGCACACCCAGCCCCUGACCAGGCAGCUCAGGCCACUGGGGCGGGCAGGGAGGUGGAGUUGGGGCGGUGGCGGGCCUUGUCCCCAGGGGCUGGUGAUGGGCAGCAUGGCCGGCCAGGCCCUGCUCAGGACAGUGGCCUCCCUCUGCAGAAGAUCAUGCACACGCGGAAGCGGCACCAGGACAUGUUCCAGGACCUGAACCGGAAGCUGCAGCACGCGGCCGAGAAGGACAAGGAGGCGCUGGGCCCCGACAGCAAGGUUGGAGGGCGGGGGCGGCACGGGGUCCCGGGGCCUCCCCUGCUGUCCACACCCACUCUGCCCACCUGGUCACUCACUCCUUCACUCAUUCUGCCUCUCCUGAGGACCGGCCUGGUGGGCCCAGGCUGGACCCCGAGGGGCAGGACGCAGCUGAGCCUGGCACGGCGCUCGGGUGUGGUCAGGGUGGGGGCAGGCGGGUUCCCAGCCGCCCUCCCUGCCAGCCCCGGGCCCUGCCAGUCGUAGGGUGAGAUGUGCCGGGGCCCCUCCCUGAAGCCCCUCCUGACCUGGUCUGCCCCCUCUUCUCCCUCCCGCUGCACCCUGCCUCUCGCCCGCGCCCCUGCCACUCGCCCCGCAGCCAGAAAAGCAGCAGACGCCCAACAAGCGGCCCUGGGAGAGCCUCCGGAAGGCCCACGGGACGCCCGCCUGGGUGAAGAAGGAGCUGGAGCCACUGCCGCCGUCGCCCCUGGAGCUGCGGAGCGUGGAGUGGGAGAAAGCCGGAGCCACCAUCCCGCUGGUGGGCCAGGACAUCAUCGACCUCCAGACGGAGGUCUGAGUGGGCGGGCGGCGGCCCGCACUGGGCCAGGAGGAGGGAUCUGCUCUGCCCGCUCCGGCCACAGGACGGGCACAGGCACGCUCACGCGCAGGCCAGGCCUGCACCCCGGCCUCAGGGCACAGACGGCCAGGCAGAGGGCCCGCGCUGGGACCAGAGCCAGACGCAGGACAGGAGGUGGCGCAGCCCGGCAGGCACAGGGCUCCAGAGGCCCAAAGGUGCCUCAGACUCUGCCCUUCUAGGGCGAGCCCCAGCGGGCGGGGGGCUGUGGACAGCGGACAGGCCUGGAUGGGCCAGUGUCCCCAGGAUGCCCACCUGAGACUCCGCUGCAGAGGACCAGCCCGUGUGGCCCGCUGGCCUGGCUCCAUUUUUUAGACAUCCCCCACCCCUGGGGAAGCAGCCAGACCCCCACUCCCUUCCAGGGCCCUGGGCCCCUCUCAGACCCAGGCAGAGAGCACAGCCCUGACCCGAGGCCCCCAGGGGCAGGACUAAGCCCACUUUGGGAAGACACAGGGUGGGGAAUCU
rnacentral:lncRNA from 1 species